GGAGGUUGUAGCUCAGCUGGUUAGAGCGUCGGAUUGUGGUUCCGAAGGUCGGGGGUUCGAACCCCCUCAUCCUCCC
rnacentral:tRNA from 1 species